rnacentral:rRNA from 1 species
UACGUAGGGGGCAAGCGUUGUCCGGAAUUAUUGGGCGUAAAGAGCGCGUAGGCGGUCCGGUAAGUCGGUUGUGAAAGUCGGGGGCUCAACCCUCGGAUGCCGAUCGAUACUGUCGGGCUAGAGUCCGGAAGAGGCGAGUGGAAUUCCUGGUGUAGCGGUGAAAUGCGCAGAUAUCAGGAGGAACACCAAUGGCGAAGGCAGCUCGCUGGGACGGUACUGACGCUGAGGCGCGAAAGCGUGGGGAGCAAAUGGG